rnacentral:rRNA from 1 species
UACAGAGGGUGCAAGCGUUAAUCGGAAUUACUGGGCGUAAAGCGUGCGUAGACGGCUAUCUAAGUCGGGUGUGAAAGCCCCGGGCUCAACCUGGGAAUUGCAUUCGAGACUGAAUAGCUAGGGUGCGGUAGAGGGAAGCGGAAUUUCCGGUGUAGCGGUGAAAUGCGUAGAGAUCCGGAGGAACACCAGUGGCGAAGGCGACACGCUGGGCCGUACCUGACGCUAAAGCGCGACAGCAUGGGGAGCAAACGGG